UAUCUGGGAACAUUCAGCUGCUUUGGUAUUGGCAUUAGUUGGCUUCAUCCAACUUUGGAAAUUUGCCCAAAAUCAAAAAAAAGAGUAGUGGGACUUGCCUGGUGGUCAAGACCCCAAGGGUCAACUGCAAGGGGCAUGGGUUUGAUCCCUAGUCAGGGAACUAAGAUCCCAUGUGCCGUGUGGCAUGGCAAAAAAAGAGAAGUCACAGAUUUCAGAAGACUGAAAGAUCAGUUACUCAUCUGACGGACCAUGGAAGCUGGGCUGGAUAGAUAGGACGGUGAAUACAGAAAGGGGGUAAUUUUAGGGAAUAAGACAAGUGGUCCAUGGCCUGGAGGUCUUGAUGAAUUUGAAGAACCCUCAUCAUACAAUAGUGAAAAAAAAUAAGACUAAAGGAUGGCUAAUAGGGCUUCCCUGGUGGUCCAGUGCUUAAGAAUCCACCUUGCAAUGCAGGGGACAUGCGUUCGAUCCCUGGUCUGGGAAGAUCCCCCAUGCUGCGGACCAACUAAGCCUGUGCUCCACGACUACUGAGCCUGCAUGCUGCAAAUGCUGACACCUGUGCCCCUGGAGCCUGCGCUCCUCAACAAGAGAAGCCACCACAGUGAGAAGCCGGGGCACUGCGACUAGAGAGCAGCCCCAGCUUGCCGCAACUAGAGAAAGCCCGUGCACAGCAACAAAGACCUAGCCCAAUCAAAAUGAAUCAUUUGUAAAAAGAAAGAACCAAAAGCUAUCUUCAACAAUUUUUUUUUAAAAAAAGAUAUGCAACAAGCAACAAAGGCUUAUAGCGCAGGGAACUACAGUCAAUAUCUUAUAAAAACCUAUAAUGGAAAAUAAUCUGAAAAAUAAUAUAUGUAUAAAUGUAUAACUGAAUCACCUUGCUGUGCACCUGAAACAUUGUAAGUCAACUAUACUUUGAUAAAAUGUAUAUAUAUUAAGAAAAAGAAAUGAUUGCUGAUUGUAGUCAGAGUAUGGAUGGGAGGUGAGGCACGUUUGAUCGUGGAAAAGGUGUGACUGGUUGAGUUAAACAGUGAAGUAGAAUGAAGGAC
ensembl:lncRNA